rnacentral:misc_RNA from 1 species
UAGAAAUCCAAAAUGCAGUCAGAAUUUAUGUUUUAAAGCACAGCUUGCAGAAAUUUGUUUAAGUCGCAUAAAACAAUAAAACACUAGUAUCUUCAAGGACAUGGAAAGUCAACUUUUUGAAGCGUUACAACAAAUCAUGUGCCUUCUUAUUGGAGAAUUCAAUGACUAUACCUAAAAGCCAAACUUCUUAAUUAUCUUCCCAAUGAUGAUAAGAAUGUGCUACAAGACACAGAAACAUGUACAACUGACUAAUAAAAGAAAAAAGAAAUAUAUUCGUUGGCAUAUUCUACAGAUUGUUCAACAGAUAAUGAAUGGUAAACACACGUCUGCUCCACUCCACUUGAGCAAAAAUCUCACAUAGCAACACCAAUACCUGUUUCAAUGUGAUGGUCAAAUGAUGUUCAGCAUUUAAUUGUUCUCAAACUAUAUAAAAUGCAAAAAUUAAAAAAAAAAAAG